rnacentral:rRNA from 1 species
GAUGAACGUUGGCGGCGUGCCUGAAAUAUGCAAGUCGAGCGCGCCCUCCGAUUCGGAGGGCAGCGGCGAACGGCUGAGUAACACGUAGGAACCUACCCCUAAGUAGAGGAUAGUUCACCGAAGGGUGAAGUAAUACUCUAUGGUUCCCUCCGACUCGGAGGGGUAAAGGACUUAACUGUUCGCUUAGGGAGGGGCCUGCGGCCUAUCAGGUAGUUGGUAGGGUAACGGCCUACCAAGCCUACGACGGGUAGCUGGCCUUAUGAGGGUGGUCAGCCAGAGGGGGACUGAGACACGGCCCCCACUCCUACGGGAGGCAGCAAUCAGGAAUCGUCGGCAAUGGGCGAAAGCCUGACCGCGCGACGCCGCGUGCGGGAAGAAUCUCUUCGGAGUGUAAACCGCUGUAAUAGGGGAGGAAGCCCUCCGAUUGGAGGGUUGACAUCACCCUAUUAGAGGGGGGCCGCUAACUGCGUGCCAGAAGCGUCGGUAAUACGUGGGCCUCAAACGUUAUCUGGUUUUACUGGGCGUAAAGGGUCGUGUAGGCGAUUUAGCAAGUUUUUGCUUAAAGACUACGGCUUAACUGUAGACAUGGCAAAAAUACUACUAAA